AGGGUUUUAGAAAAUGUCGACUGGG
rnacentral:piRNA from 1 species